rnacentral:lncRNA from 1 species
GCGCAGUGUGUUUCCGCCGGGCUUCUGGGCGGCGCUCGCACGCCGAGACCAAGGCGGGGACAGGCAGUUUAUGGAGAGGUCACUGAAGGUGGGCUGGAAGGAGAGCCUGGAAGGAGGCUCUAGCGGACGGGAAGACACUGUGGUAGUUACUAAAGGUAGUGUGGGAAGACACUUUCUGCCGGAAGACACACGACAUGAAGAUGGUAGCAUUGGCUACUGAAGGAGAGAGAUUCUUUGUUCUCAUAGGCGACAUAGAUGCAGGGUGGAGGGAGUUCUAGCUUUCUCACGCGUGAGCCAGAAAAGUUUAAAAAGCCAAAUAGCCCAGUACAAAGGGAGCAUAUUGUAGCUCCAUGAUGUGCAUUUUCGGAGAAUCCAACUGUAUACAGAAUGUUAGUGUUGAAGAAUGAAAAAUUACUGGCCUCUUGUAAGAACAUGAACUUUUUACCUCGGAGCCCACCCCCUCCCAUCUAGAAAACAUUUUUGAGAUAAAGGCUUCCUGGAACAACCUCAAAAUGAACCAGGUACUCCUUAGUUACGUAGGUUCCUUGAUAGGACAUGACUCCUUAGUUACAUAGAUUCCUUUGGCAGAACUCCCUAGUGAUGUAAACUUGUACUUUCCCUGCCCAGUUCUCCCCCUUUGAGUUUUACUAUAUAAGCCUGUGAAAAAUUUUGGCUGACCGUCGAGACUCCUCUACCCUGUGCAAAGGUGUAUGAGUUUCGACCCCAGAGCUCUGUGUGCUUUCUGUUGCUGCUUUAUUUCGACCCCAGAGCUCUGGUCUGUGUGCUUUCAUGUUGUUGCUACUUUAUUAAAUCUUACCUUCUACAUUUUAUGUAUGGUCUCAGUGUCUUCUUGGGUACGCGGCUGUCCCGGGACUUAAGUGUCUGAGGGAGGGUCUCCCUUCGAGGGUCUUUCAUUUGGUGCAUUGGCCGGGAAACAGCGCGACCACCCAGAGGUCCUAGACCCACUUAGAGGUAAGAUUCUUUGUUCUGCUUUGGUCUGAUGUCUGUGUUCUGAUGUCUGUGUUCUGUUUCUAAGUUUGGUGCGAUCGCAGUUUCAGUUUUGCGGAUGCUCAGUGAGACCGCACUCCGAGAGGGAGUGCGGGGUGGAUAAGGAUAGACGUGUCCAGGUGUCCACCGUCCGUUCACCCUGGGAGACGUCCUAGGAGGAACAGGGGAGGAUCAGGGACGCCUGGUGGACCCCUCUGAAGGCCAAGAGACCAUUUGGGGUUGCGAGAUCGUGGGUUCGAGUCCCACCUCGUGCCCAGUUGCGAGAUCGUGGGUUCGAGUCCCACCUCGUGUUUUGUUGCGAGAUCGUGGGUUUGAGUCCCACCUCGCACCUUGUUGCGAGACCGUGGGUUCGAGUCCCACCUCGCGUCUGGUCACGGGAUCGUGGGUUCGAGUCCCACCUCGUGCAGAGGGUCUCAAUUGGCCGGCCUUGGAGAGGCCAUCUGAUUCUUCUGGUUUCUUUUUUUUUGUCUUAGUCUCGUGUCCGCUCUUGUUGUGACUACUGUUUUUCUAGAAAUGGGACAAUCUGUGUUCACUCCCCUUUCUCUGACUCUGGAGCAUUGGAAGGAGGUGCGGGUCAGAGCCCACAACCAGUCGGUGGAGGUCAGAAAGGGUCAGUGGCAGACCUUUUGCGCCUCCGAGUGGCCAACGUUUGGAGUAGGCUGGCCACCUAAGGGUGCUUUUGACUUGUCACUAAUCGCCGCCGUCAGGCAAAUUGUUUUUCAGGAGGAAGGGAGUCGAUGUGGAAUCCGACCCCGUCAGGAAAUAGCGUUUGGCUUGGCUGGUUGUACAAGUCCAGGCGUGGACGAGUGUGCUUAGAGAUACUGGUGUCUUCUUUUUCUCUGUUGCUAUCUUGUUUUUGUUUGUGGUUUUUGUCAUGAGACACAGACACUGUACGUCAGAGGUAAAGUGAGAUCCCUCCCUGUCUGUAUGUCUGUGUGUCUGUGUGUCUUGUUCACUUGUGUGUCCUCCAUUGGACCACCUUCUGAUUCUGUUUUGUUUUUGGUUUGUCUGGUUUCAGGUCUGGUCUUGGUCCCAAGGAGUUGACUGAUUAUCUUGGUUUGGUUUUAGGCCGGUCUCAGGUUCUGGGGCCUUCCCAUGGAGACAGGUCCAUUUGGAUUGGUCAUAGUGACAGUAAGCUUCUCUGGAAAUCGCAUGUAAGAUGCCCUGUAUUGGUCUUGCUUGUGUUUGUCAUUUCUGUGGUACUGUGAUUCUAUAGUGGUUGCCUGAAAAACGGUUUCUGUGUGUGUCUUGUGUGUCUCUUUGUGUUCGGACUUGGACUGAUGACUGACGACUGUUUUUUAGUUAUGCCUUCUGAAAUAAGCCUAAAAAUCCUGUCAGAUCCCUAUGCUGACCACUUCCUUUCAGAUCAACAGCUGCCCUGCCUCCCACUCCAACUCCAGAGAGCAGCCAGCGGGUCACAGUGGUCCCGCCCAUGGACCUGGAGCCUAGGGAAAAAUGAGCUCGGAAAUCCGGAGCAAAUGAGGAGUGGUCCCUGAGAAGUCAGUGGCCCUGGAUGUUGUGGCUGCUGAAAAAAAAAAAAAAAGAAGAGGAGGCUGUUCGAGUAGCGGCCAAGAGCGCUGCAGGUUCCCAGGCAGCUUCUCAUUCCCCUGUCCCUCCCAUCCCGUCUCUUGUUAACAGAAAAACUGCUUUCACUUUAAGAUAAGUGCCGGUUGCAGCCAGCUGUGAGAGCUGCACUCCCGUCUCUGCUCUAAAGUUCCCUCUUCUCAGAGGGUGGCACCACCCUGAGUUGCUGGCAGUGAGUCUGUUCCAAGUUCCAGUGAGGGAGGCAUCCACCCACUUGGGGCUUCUGUCCAAGGUAAGGAGCACCUGUGAAUCUAACUGCCAGGCUCUGAUGGGGGUCUCGUCUCUGUGGGACUAGAAAGUGUCCCAACAAUCUGACCAAGGUAACAGGAAGUUAAGACAAAGACAGAGAUCAGAGUCAGAAUCAGAGCUGUGCUGUGAGACAGAUAGAUAAGAGAAGUAAAAUGCUGGUCACAAAAGUCAGGAAAAUUAGAAAACUUAGAUAGUACCUGGCAACAAAAGAAAGCUUUUGGCUAAAGAUCAACGUGUAUACUGUAAAGAAAAUGAGCACUGGGUGAGAGACUGCCCCAACAAAAA